rnacentral:rRNA from 1 species
UACGGAGGAUCCAAGCGUUAUCCGGAUUCAUUGGGUUUAAAGGGUGCGUAGGCGGAAUAAUAAGUCAGUGGUGAAAGCCCUCAGCUUAACUGAGGAACUGCCAUUGAUACUGUUAAUCUUGAGUACAUUUGAUGUGGGCGGAAUGUGCCAUGUAGCGGUGAAAUGCUUAGAUAUGACACAGAACACCGAUUGCGAAGGCAGCUCACAAAACUGUAACUGACGCUGAGGCACGAAAGCGUGGGUAUCAAACAGG